rnacentral:rRNA from 1 species
CGUUUUAGGCUUUAUCAGUAAUAUGGUUAACACUAUAAUUAUGUGGCAAAGUACGGAAUUGCAUGGCUGUCGUCAGUUCGUGCUGUGAAGUUUAGGAUUAAGUUCUUUUUAACGAAUGUAACCCUAUAAAUAAGUUUUUACUUUAUAUUAAUCAACUUUAUUAAGUAUUCUUGUUUAAUCUAUAUUUGAAUGCAAAGAAAUAAUAUCUCGUGUACUCAAAUAUAGGGGUUUUAGGCUGAAGUCAAGUCCCUAUGGUCUUUAUACGUUGGGCCACACACGUGUUACAAGGAUAAAAACAAAGAGACGCUCAAGAGCAAUCUUACGCAAAACUCUAAAAAUUAUCUUAGUUCAGAUUGUCUCAUGAAACUCUGAGGCAUGAAGAUGAAAUCGUUAGUAAUUGUAAAUUAAAAUGUUACAGUGAAAUAUUAGUCAAAUUUUGCACACACCGCCCAUCAGGCUAGGAAAGUCAAUAAUAGUGGAAGAUUUGAAAAUCUCUCUGUAAUGCUCAAUUUUUUAAUUUAGCAGUUAGUAUGUUUUUUUUU